GAGUUUGAUCUUGGCUCAGAUUGAACGCUGGCGGCAGGCCUAACACAUGCAAGUCGAGCGGUAGAGAGAAGCUUGCUUCUCUUGAGAGCGGCGGACGGGUGAGUAAUGCCUAGGAAUCUGCCUGGUAGUGGGGGAUAACGCUCGGAAACGGACGCUAAUACCGCAUACGUCCUACGGGAGAAAGCAGGGGACCUUCGGGCCUUGCGCUAUCAGAUGAGCCUAGGUCGGAUUAGCUAGUUGGUGAGGUAAUGGCUCACCAAGGCGACGAUCCGUAACUGGUCUGAGAGGAUGAUCAGUCACACUGGAACUGAGACACGGUCCAGACUCCUACGGGAGGCAGCAGUGGGGAAUAUUGGACAAUGGGCGAAAGCCUGAUCCAGCCAUGCCGCGUGUGUGAAGAAGGUCUUCGGAUUGUAAAGCACUUUAAGUUGGGAGGAAGGGCAGUAAAUUAAUACUUUGCUGUUUUGACGUUUACCGACAGAAUAAGCACCGGCUAACUCUGUGCCAGCCGCCG
rnacentral:rRNA from 1 species